rnacentral:tRNA from 1 species
GGCCCGUUAUCUCAGUUGGUUAGAGCGUCGUGCUAAUAACGCGAAGGUCGUGGGUUCGAUCCCCCCACGGGCCA